AAGGAAUAUUGGACAAUGGGCGGAAGCCUGAUCCAGCCAUGCCGCGUGAAGGAUGAAGGCGCUCAGCGUUGUAAACUUCUUUUGGAUGGGGACAAACCACUCGAUUCAUCGGGUGCUGAGGGUACCAUCAGAAUAAGCACCGGCUAACUCCGUGCCAGCAGCCGCGGUAAUACGGAGGGUGCAAGCGUUAUCCGGAAUCACUGGGUUUAAAGGGUGCGUAGGCGGUCUGAUAAGUCAGUUGUGAAAUUCCUCGGCUUAACCGAGUGGACUGCGAUUGAUACUGUCAGACUUGAAUCAGGUUGAGGUAGGCGGAAUGUGACAUGUAGCGGUGAAAUGCUUAGAUAUGUCAUAGAACACCGAUUGCGAAGGCAGCUUGCUAGACCUGGAUUGACGCUGAGGCACGAAAGCGUGGGGAGCAAAC
rnacentral:rRNA from 1 species